rnacentral:lncRNA from 1 species
CAGGACGGGGCCUGGAAGGGGGGGAGCCUCAGACCAAAUAACAGUUGUUUCUGGAGCCCCCAGUGAGGAAAAUACAAGACCAAGAGCAGCACAGAGGCCGAGUUGUCACAUGCAAAACAGGAAGAAAAUAUAACACUGUGUAUUUAAGCACCUUUUUCAAGGCUCUUAAUGGAUAAUAUUUAUUCAUGGGAAAAGGUGGAAAACAAAACACCAACGGAUUUUUGUGACAUAUUUUUCUCCAUGGACCCAAUACCUUUGAACCAAAACAAUGCAUUUUGUGAGGGUUUUUUUUUCUUCUUUUAUAGCAGAAGCUUUUAGGCUAAGAAGUCCGUUAUUGCUGAGUUCUCUCUCCAUUCCCCCAGGUGGGUGAGGUCAACUGAGCCUGGGCCCCCACUGCCCAGCUGACCUGCACAGAGCUGCCAACUGACCACACAGCAACACUUACCCUCUGUAUGUCCUCUGUCUCUGUCCCUCUCUGCUUCACCCCCUGGCUGUUCUUCUCUGUGUCCAGCCAUCUGUCUCUACAUGGACCCCGGUGAUCCUGAGACAUGUUAGUAAAGCCUUCUCCUACUGCCAAGCACCUGCAGACUCGUGCCUGCAAGUUGUAUCUGUGUGAAUGCAGCUGUGGAAGAGAAAAGAAUAAAGCCAAAAAGGGAGAGUUUAGGGAUGAGGGAAGUCCACUCCCUUGUGAUUGGAACCACUGGUGUUUGGGGAAAAAAGGGACUGACCAGAAAUUUCACGCUGGGAUCUUGACACAGGAAAUAGCCAAUACCUGAGAGGCGUGGUCGAGUCUGGUGUGUGCCAGUGAAGAGAGAAGAGCCCAGGGCUCACAGCUGUAGUCGGCCCCGGGGGCACCUUGUUAUGUACCCUUCUUACAGGACCCACCAUAAAGCCCAUCGGAACUCUGCCAAGAGGCCCCAUUAACAGUUUCAUGCAGAAAGGGCAAGGUUCUGGCUUACCUUACAAUUAAGGCAACUCCCAUCCGGAGGCUGCGGGAGAUCGAGCCUGUGUGCUUCAGUGAAGGAUGCUCCAAAGUGCAAAAGCAAGUGAGAGAUUCUAGAUGAGUCUUACGUGGUCUGAAAAAUGACUUGAGGUCUGAAGAGUCUUCAGGCCUGAUGUCCCUGAAGGUAACUGAAAUGGGGGCGAAGCCUGAUCACCUCCGUGCAAGUGAGGGAGUGACUGUUAACUUCUGGAGAACCUGUUCAAGUGGUUUACACCCUGGUGGGACUGGGAAAAGCAUUUCUGGAAGCCUCCCACCAUUUUCACUGCUUAGAGCAGAGCAGGUGGGCCUCAGGAUGAGAGACAGGCCCCUUCCCGCCCUCCCCAGUUGCAGUCUCUCUGGCUUGGCCUCUGAGAUUCAGAAGCUCCUCAUCCAUUCUACAGUUUAGUGGUUAGCAGUUCAAUUGUAGGCCAAGAGCCUCUCUGCCCGCCACAGCCAUCUAGACAAGUUGCACUAGUCAGGAACCUAAAAACACCUUCAGUGGGCUUCCCUAUGUCCCCAGCUCUGUUGAGCCUGUGGAAGGGGAAGGCCAGUGGGUUCUGAGAUGGCUCCUAACCAGAAGGUGUGCAAAAGGGCAGAGGAGAGGGAGCCUUCGACCUUUAUCUCAUUAUACUAUCCUCACUGACCACUGACUGAGUCCUUUCUCUCGGUCCAGCCUCCAAGAUUUCCCCCUAAUAUGAGAAUGGGGUGGUUUUGACCUUCUGAGCCUGUGGUCUAAGUAGACAGAAAAGCUUUGCAACUACAGAUGAAUAUAUACACAGGAAUAUAUACACAGGAAUACACACACACACACACACACACACACACACACAAUAACAACAACCUAAACACACCUGAGAAUCAGUACUUAAAUCCGUUCACUUCAUACACAUAUCCCAUUAGGGAAGGGGAAAGACUGGGCUGGACUCCAUGCAGAAGGCAGGCAAAGGACUAGAAACGGAUUAUUUCCUUUGAAAGAAUGGUAAUGGAACAAAAUUAAGCAUAUCUAAGUAUCUAAGUUUACAUCAUAAAAACCGAGUCACAGGGUGCCUGGCUGCCUCAGUCAGUAGAGCACACGACUUUUGAUCUCAGGGUCAUGAGUUCAAGCCCCACGAUGGGCGUGGAGCCUACUAAAAAAGAAUAAAAACUGAGUGCAGAGUAAGGAAUAAAGAGGUAAAUAGGAACAUGGUUGCAUACACAUACAAACUGCCUGUGUUUAAGAACCGGUCAUCACAGGGUUAGAGUAAUGACUGAUCAUUAUGACUGAGCGUGUUAGUGCUUCCCACAAAAAUUAAUGAACAAAUUUUUAAAAUCAUGUCCCACAUAAUUUCUCAUUUUUUGACCCUAAUUAACUAUUUUGUAUUCCUUCAAUUUCAUUUAUAAAUCUCACUUUAAGCCAGUUCCUAAGAGACUUCAGACUGUCCCCUUCAUCUCCAUCCCCCAACGUAGCUGCAGCCAGGGAGAAGAGACCCAGCUCACCAAUGGUCCAAGAGAUGUCAACCCAGGAAAAGGACUCCUCUACACAAGAGAGAACAGCAAGACUACACUGUUAGAAGACUUUUGUGAGUAAACAAAAAGGCCUGAGUGUGCUGGAUCGGUUCAAUGACUAACUCAUUGGCCAGUGACCGAAGAACCGGGAUAUCAGGGUUUUCUGGAGGUAAUGGCUUUCUGGGGCAAUGAUUCCUGAGUUUCUUGAACCACUUCAGCAUAAUAGAAGAUUCCCGAAACACCUUGCCCCAUUCAGUCCCACUAAGCAUCAGAGAGGGUUAAAAAUAAUAAUGAUAGUAAUAGGCUAUGUUCAAAUGAAUGGGAACUUAGAAAACAUCGUAUUAAGAAUGUAUUAGAACUAAAAGGCAUUAAGAAUAUCUAAUUGAUUUUCCAGCAUAGAAAGCUGAGGCCCAGAGAAAUUAAGUGACUUGCUCAAGGUCAUGUAAUCAUUUAAUGUCCUAGCUGGGACCAGAACACAAGGCCCUUGGCUAUUAGUCUAAUGCUUUUUCCACUACAUUCGCUGCCUCUAGGAGCAGUGAUGCUUCGGAGAAGACCCAUCAAAGAAUACAUGCUGUAAUUAGAGACAUAGUCUUAUGUAAAUGUCAAUACCACUUGGACACAGCCCUUGGAAACCAUUUGACUGUGCUAAUACAAACCAUCUUUUGAAGCCACCAUUCUCUGGGUGGAACCAGCUAUGGACUAUCAAUUCUGUCCAAAACAAACACAAACAAACAAAAGGUGAACAAGUGAACAGUUUUCCUUCCGUCGAAUGCUACUUCUUCUCAAUGAAGAGAGGGCUAAAACAUUUCAAAGCAUCCCUUCCGGGGUCCUUUUGAUCCUUACUACUAUCUCUGAUGGUAGUAGGUCAAGUGACUAAGUCCUUGAUUCACAGAGAGGGAAAACAGGUGGAGAGAAACUGAGUGACACAGCAUGGCAAGUGAGUGGCAGAACCGUGAUUGUGAUCCAGGGCUUAGACUUCUCGCCCUGAGAUUUUUCUUCCACAUCAUGUUGCAUUACUCUGGGGCUUGCUUAUAUUUUUAAUACUUGGAUUUCAAGGGUGGUGAUUAGGGGGAGGAAGCAUUCCAUUCAGGAGCACCGGGAACCGGGACCUCCAGAAGCAAACUCUGUACGAUUUCGCCUUCAUCCCCCAUUCUUAGAACGUGUCAAAUUCAGGACUAACUUCCGACUGAAAGACCAGAUAUUCUCAGUGACAGUUGGACAUAGUCUACAAUCACAUGGGAGUUUAAGGCCAGCAAGUAGAAAAGUAAAACUAAGGGGAACAAAGAAUUUGAACAGAAAUUAAAGUGGACAGUUAAUGCUGAUCCAUGGUUAACAAGAGUCACCUUGUGAAUGUGCUAAGGACUUUUACCUAGUUUUCAAAUUACCAUUCCUGCAGUUCAGGAUCGUGUCACUUAUUGGCCAGAAUAUAGGCAGAAGUGUACAUUGAAACGCGUAUGUAGAUUUUUUUCCUUGACUUUUUAACUUUGCAGAGGUAGUGGUUGUAAUUGAGCUAAAUCUAGAUUCUAAGACUAUCAACGAAGUCCAGUGGUCCAGGCUCCCUCACUUCAAUUAUCAGGUAGCUACAAGGCAGAAAGAUCCCAAUGCUGUUAACCUAAGGCAAUAGUAGUUUCCCUUCUAAACUAGUUGGCAUGGUAACCAUAAGAACCUGGAAGACUUUUAUUUUCCCUUUCUGAUUUCCUUAUGAAGUCUCAUUUGCAAAGCUUUAAACUGACUGGAUGAAGGAAAACCAUUUUUAUGAUCCAUGACCCUUGGAGCCCAAACAGGAUCAUGAAGAGAAAGUGGCUAUCAGAAAAAGAAAUAGCUUUAAAGGGGUUCCUUUUGAGUCUUGUUUUCUAUUCAGAAUGUUCUAUGUUUUUCUCAUCAAGUGUGGGAAUGACAUUUAUCUUAGCAGGUUACUUAACUACACUGGAUGAUGUCACUCUAAACCAGUGUAGGGCACUGACCCAAAUCCUGGGGGGCUCCUUGGACCAAUAGACUAUUUUACAAACCUGGGAGGUGGGAGGGAUGGUAUAUUUUUGAUAAUCAGACAUUCCAAUGUAAUGUUUUCCUUAGAGGUCACCUCCCCAUUAAUGUUAUCGUGAAAAACAUCAAGUGUGUUCUUUUCUAUUUUCAUAUAAUAAAUGGGCUUUGCUUACCAACAUCACAAUGGCAAAGAAAUACUGUACAAAACCGCAGGAAGAUAAAACAUGUGAAAACUUUGUAUGAAAAAAAAAAAAACUCUUGAGUUUCCUGUCGUCUUCUUUUGAAACUGUAGUGCAUAUGUUAAAACGUAUUAUCAUUUACAGUAUUGAGUCAUGUGCCACUGCUGUACCUGAUGUAUCCAAUCUGGAUUAAACAAACUAUGUGCCACAAACC